rnacentral:rRNA from 1 species
AGGUUACUGCUAUCGGUGUUCGCCUAAGCCAUGCGAGUCAUAUGUUCUUCGUGAACAUGGCGUACUGCUCAGUAACACGUGGAUAACCUGCCCUUAGGUCCGGCAUAACCCCGGGAAACUGGGGAUAAUUCCGGAUAACGCACGUAUGCUGGAAUGCUUUAUGCGUCAAAUGGAUUCGUCCGCCCAAGGAUGGGUCUGCGGCCUAUCAGGUAGUAGUGGGUGUAAUGUACCUACUAGCCUACGACGGGUGCGGGUUGUGAGAGCAAGAGCCCGGAGAUGGAUUCUGAGACAUGAAUCCAGGCCCUACGGGGCGCAGCAGGCGCGAAAACUUUACAAUGCGGGAAACCGUGAUAAGGGGACACCGAGUGCCAGCAUCAUAUGCUGGCUGUCCGGGUGUGUAAAAUACACCUGUUAGCAAGGGCCGGGCAAGACCGGUGCCAGCCGCCGCGGUAACACCGGCGGCCCGAGUGGUGAUCGUGAUUAUUGGGUCUAAAGGGUCCGUAGCCGGUUUGGUCAGUCCUCCGGGAAAUCUGACGGCUUAACCGUUAGGCUUUCGGGGGAUACUGCCAGACUUGGAACCGGGAGAGGUAAGAGGUACUACAGGGGUAGGAGUGAAAUCUUGUAAUCCCUGUGGGACCACCUGUGGCGAAGGCGUCUUACCAGAACGGGUUCGACGGUGAGGGACGAAAGCUGGGGGCACGAACCGGAUUAGAUACCCGGGUAGUCCCAGCCGUAAACGAUGCUCGCUAGGUGUCAGGCAUGGCGCGACCGUGUCUGGUGCCGCAGGGAAGCCGUGAAGCGAGCCACCUGGGAAGUACGGCCGCAAGGCUGAAACUUAA